AACGAACGCUGGCGGCGCGUCUUAAGCAUGCAAGUCGGACGGCAAGGGUUGUGCUUGCACAACUCCUAGAGUGGCGGACUGGUGAGUAACGCGUGGGCGACCUGCCCUCGAGAUGGGGAUAGCCAUUAGAAAUAGUGGAUAAUACCGAAUACGCUCAUGACCCUGUGGGAUAUGAGGAAAACAGGCUACGGCCUGGCUCGAGGAUGGGCCCGCGUCCCAUUAGCUAGUUGGUGAGGUAACGGCCCACCAAGGCGACGAUGGGUAUCCGGCCUGAGAGGGUGUACGGACACAUUGGGACUGAGAUACGGCCCAAACUCCUACGGGAGGCAGCAGCUAAGAAUAUUCCGCAAUGGACGAAAGUCUGACGGAGCGACGCCGCGUGGAUGAAGAAAGGGCCGGAAGGUUGUAAAAUCCUUUUGCUGAUGAAGAAUAAGUGUGGUAGGGAAUGACCGCAUGAUGACAUUAGUCGGUGAAUAAGCCCCGGCUAACUACGUGCCAGCCGCAGC
rnacentral:rRNA from 1 species